rnacentral:rRNA from 1 species
AGAGUUUGAUUAUGGCUCAGGAUGAACGCUGGCGGCGUGCUUAACACAUGCAAGUCGAACGAAGCAGCUUCUGCUGCAAGAAAGCUGACUUAGUGGCGGACGGGUGAGUAACGCGUGGGUAACCUGCCUCAUACAGGGGGAUAACAGUUGGAAACGACUGCUAAGACCGCAUAACCCGCUAGUGUCGCAUGACACGGACGGAAAAUAUUUAUAGGUAUGAGAUGGGCCCGCGUCUGAUUAGCUAGUUGGUGAGGUAACGGCUUACCAAGGCGACGAUCAGUAGCCGACUUGAGAGAGUGAUCGGCCACAUUGGGACUGAGACACGGCCCAAACUCCUACGGGAGGCAGCAGUGGGGAAUAUUGGACAAUGGGGGAAACCCUGAUCCAGCGAACCGCCGCGUGAGUGAAGAAGUAUUUCGGUAUGUAAAGCUCUAUCAGCAGGGAAGAUAAUGACAGUACCUGACUAAGAAGCCCCGGCUAACUACGUGCCAGCCGCUGC